GUACAAAAUACUAAAAGUACAAGCCCUCAGAGACCCUUGGUAUAUAGCGGUGAGAGAAAAGGCUAUCAGAGAAUAAGCAGGUGUGCUGGGAAAGACCCACGGGCUUCGGGGAGAGGAUAGAUCAAUAACUAAUUUCAGUACAGAGCUUCACUCGCACUGUUUUUCCAAUAAACGUUGGUUGGAGAGUUACUGGCUUAGCCCUCCCCCCACCCCCACUAUCUCUGCUCCAUCACCUUCCGCCAGCAGGGAUUGGAGACGGUGGAAGAGGCUCGUUUCUGUCACUGCUGUGCACAUCUGCGUGGUCAGGAUUAUGCUCCCGCAGCUAGUGAAUGGUGUACAUCUAAACCAAUGGGCCAGCGUUGAGGUUUUGUCAAGAGCAUGCAGGCAGAUUCAGACGGACAGGAGAGUGAAGCGUGUGUCAUGCAGCUCUCUGCUGCUGCUGCUGCUGCUGCUGCUGCUGCUGAGGCUCUUCUCCUCAGAGGCUGUGACCUAGAUAACCAAGAGGAGCUGGAGCGCCUGCAAGCCUUGGAGCCACUCCAGCUUCAGCAAUGUCAGGAAGGGGUUAGUUGUAUAACACACAAUGUCCUAUUUAGUUUAGUCGGCACACGUACACUUUACACAUGAACACAUGCGUACCCUAUAGUCCCUCCUAUACCGUCGUAGUGCGGAUUUAUGGUAUUUUAUUUUUCAUGCGUUUCUCUUGCCGAAGCAGUGUUGAGCAAGCCGAGUGAGAGGGAAAGAGGAGAAUUCAUCUGUAUUUAAUCAGAAACAUUAGGAAUGCUUGGUGAAGCUUUCUACUUCAGCAGCCACAUUAUGUCAAAGCUACAAAAGGCAGACUCUUCCUGCUGUGCUGCUGCCUUUAACUCGCGCCGCUUUAUUUAGCAGCUAUUCUGAGGUUCGGUGUAUGAGCACAACCAUGUGGUACAUACAUGGCAUUAAUUAUUCCCCUUGUGCAGGUAGCCUGUGAGUGCAGCACUCCUACCCGGCGCUACACUGCCACUUACUGGACAAUUAAAGGCAGGAGCAAUUUUUAGAGAAUGCAAAGAAGUGUAAAAACAAGCCAAUCGAAAAGUGUUCAUCACAUUUUCUUUAUUCCAAUGAUAUGGAGAAACUUACAUAAAUUACACAACACAGCAUCACCACAAAAAGGCCAUAAGAUGUAGAUGGAUUCUACUCAAAUGGAACAAGUGUAAUGACUAAA